CUCUGGAGAACAGAAGUCCAAAACUAAGCUGUGGGCUGGGCCGUGCUCCCUUGGAAGGCUUGGGGAGGCUCCUUCCUGCCUCUCCCAGCUUUGGGUGGCUCCGCCCCUCCUUGGCUGGUGGCUGCAGCACUCCAAUCUCUGCCUUCUGCUCUGUCUUCACACGGCCUUCCCUCUGUGUCUCUGUGUCCUCUUCUCCUCUUAUAAGGACAACAGUGAUGAGAUUUGAGGCCUACCCCGCAUGCAGAUAAUCUGAUCUCAAGAUUAUCACCUUAAUUACAUCUGUAAAGACCUUAUUCCUAAAUAAAGUUGCCCUCUGAGUUCUGAGUGGACAUGAAUUUGCAGGGCAGGCUACUCUUCAACCCACUAUGAGGUGACCCAGGUUGGACAAAACCUCUGUGCUCACCCCUGGAUGCUAGUGUGCUGGGGAAUCCCUCUCA
rnacentral:lncRNA from 1 species